UACGAAGGGGGCUAGCGUUGUUCGGAAUUACUGGGCGUAAAGCGUGCGCAGGCGGCCAUCCAAGUCAGUGGUGAAAGCCCGGAGCUCAACUCCGGAAUUGCCAUUGAAACUGUUUGGCUCGAGUACGAGAGAGGUGAGUGGAAUUCCCAGUGUAGAGGUGAAAUUCGUAGAUAUUGGGAAGAACACCGGUGGCGAAGGCAGCUCACUGGCUCGUAACUGACGCUCAUGCACGACAGCGUGGGGAUCAAACAGG
rnacentral:rRNA from 1 species